rnacentral:rRNA from 1 species
GACGAACGCUGGCGGCGCGCUUAACACAUGCCAGUCGAACGGAAAGGCCUGCUUUCCCUUGUGGAUUGCGGGUACUCGAGUGGCGAACGGGUGAGUAACACGUGAGUGAUCUGCCCCCAACUUGGGUAUAAGCCUGGGAAACUGGGUCUAAUUCCCGAUAGGACUGCAGGGUGGUGCCUGUGGUGGAAAACGAUUUUCUAGUGGUUGGGGAUGAGCUCGCGGCCUAUCAGCUUGUUGGUGGGGUAAUGGCCUACCAAGGCGGCGACGGGUAGCCGGCCUGAGAGGGGGGACGGCCACAUCGGGACUGAGAUACGGCCCAGACUCCUACGGGAGGCAGCAGUGGGGAAUAUUGCACAAUGGGCGGAAGCCUGAUGCAGCGACGCCGCGUGGGGGAUGACGGCCUUCGGGUUGUAAACUCCUUUCGACCGCGAGGAAGCCACCUGGUUGGAAGGGUGGUGACGGUAGUGGUAGAAGAAGCACCGGCUAACUACGUG